rnacentral:rRNA from 1 species
GACGAACGCUGGCGGCGUGCUUAACACAUGCAAGUCGAACGAAAAGAGGGAAAGAGCUUGCUCUUUCCGGAAUUGAGUGGCAAACGGGUGAGUAACACGUAAACAACCUGCCUUCAGGAUGGGGACAACAGACGGAAACGACUGCUAAUACCGAAUAAGUUCCAAGGGCCGCAUGGCCCAUGGAAGAAAAGGUGGCCUCUACCUGUAAGCUAUCGCCUGAAGAGGGGUUUGCGUCUGAUUAGCUGGUUGGAGGGGUAACGGCCCACCAAGGCGACGAUCAGUAGCCGGUCUGAGAGGAUGAACGGCCACACUGGAACUGAGACACGGUCCAGACUCCUACGGGAGGCAGCAGUGGGGAAUCUUCCGCAAUGGGCGAAAGCCUGACGGAGCAACGCCGCGUGAGUGAUGACGGCCUUCGGGUUGUAAAACUCUGUGAUCCGGGACGAAAAGGCAGAGUGCGAAGAACAAA